rnacentral:rRNA from 1 species
AUUGAACGCUGGCGGCAGGCCUAACACAUGCAAGUCGAACGAGUGGCGGACGGGUGAGUAAUGUCUGGGAAACUGCCCGAUGGAGGGGGAUAACUACUGGAAACGGUAGCUAAUACCGCAUACCAUCGGAUGUGCCCAGAUGGGAUUAGCUAGUAGGUGGGGUAAUGGAUCACCUAGGCGACGAUCCCUAGCUGGUCUGAGAGGAUGACCAGCCACACUGGAACGUAGACACGGUCCAGAGUCCUACGGGAGGUAGCAGUGGUGAAUAUUGCACAAUGGGCGCAAGCCUGAUGAAGCCAUGCCGCGUGUAUGAAGAAGGCCUUAGGGUUGUAAAGUACUUUCAGCGGGGAGGCGUUACCCGCAGAAGAAGCACCGGCUAACUCCGUGCCAGCCGCCGCGGUAAUUC